AAACACUCCUGCCUCCGCGCGUGUUUGUCCUGCAGGGUGGGGAGGCCAGUGCGUGUUCGUGAGUCACCGGGCUAGCCUGCAGGGGCUGCGGGGGUGUGGGUGUGAGAGAGGCGAGACCGCAGAGACACGGAGGGGGACAGCUACAGGGAGAGACAAAGAUGGAGAGACAGAGACUCUGAGACACACAAGGAAAGGCGGCUAAGAGAAACAGAGAGAGAGAGACAUCUGUGAGAUGCCGGGAGAAAUGAAGCAGCUCAGGGGUCAGAGACUGGGUGACACACCCUGCGCCGUGGAUCCUGAGAAGAGCACAGUGAACCUUCAGACUCAAAGCCCAGAGACGUCACUGACGGAGGGGGAACCAAGGCCGAGUGGCCCACAGAUACUGACGUUGGCCCUCUGGUCUCCAGAAAUGGGAGAAUAACUUUCUGCUGUUGAAAGUACACACAGCCCCAGGGAUCUGAUACCAUCUUCUUCCAUCUAGAGAUCCUGGCCUUUCUCUACCUUUCUCAACAUGGACCCAACCCAGGUUCAUCGGAACGUCUCAUGGCAUGAAUCAGACAAAACAUUUCGGGUCAGAACCGGACAUAAGCAAACAGCUUCUGAAACACGGUGUUACCCAAAUUCCAACCUCUGAUGCUGUGUUCCCGUUUAAUUACAUCCGUCUCCACCUGU